rnacentral:sRNA from 1 species
AAUCUAUCACAAUCCACACUACCGCGAACCGAUACUGUUGGCCUCUAAAUAGCUUGCCUAUUUAGGCUAGGCAUGUGUGUAUGUACGUACAUGCAUGUCUAGGUCGUUGCCAAACAUUUUGGCGGCGUCGGUCUUAUACUAACCAACCAACACCAAACCAAUUUAUUAUUUAAUUCGAGUGCUCAGCUUAGAGCUGACACUCACCAACCAAGACAACUCUCAACAACGGAUAUCUUGGCUCUCAGAUCGAUGAAGAACGCAGCGAAAUGCGAUACGUAGUGUGAAUUGCAGAAAUACGUGAAUCAUCGAAUCUUUGAACGCAUAUUGCGCUCGAGGCUUCGGCCAAGAGCAUGUCUGCCUCAGCGUCGGGUUAAUACUCGCUCCCUACCACUGUGUGUGGUAUGGGAACGGAACUGGCUGUCUUGGCAAUCAAUUUGAAUUAAUUGACUGCCGGGUCAGUUGAAGUAUGCAGAGGUUAUUGCAUGGACCCGUUUAUGGGCCUCUACUGGGUAGGCAACUUGUUGCUAAUGCUUUAGUAGAUGGCCUGGGACCGUGUGUGUUUUAACCCAAACCAGGAACUCAAUAUGUAAUAUUAUUGAGCAACUGUUUAUUUUCUCGACCUGAGCUCAGGCAAGA